CUCAGCACAGUCUGGAGAGAGAAGAGAGGUAGUGGGGAAUAGUUAAAGACUGAUCUCAGCACAGUGACUGGAGAGAGAAGAAAGAGAAGAGAGGUAGUGGGGAAUAGUUAAAGACUGAUCUCAGCACAGUCUGGAGAGAGAAGAGAGGUAGGGGGGAAUAGUUAAAGACUGAUCUCAGCACACUGACUGGGGAGAGAAGAGAGAGAAGAAAGAGAAGAGAGGUAGUGGGGAAUAGUUAAAGACUGAUCUCAGCACAGUCUGGAGAGAGAAGAGAGGUAGUGGGGAAUAGUUAAAGACUGAUCUCAGCACUCUACAGCUAGCUUCCCCCUGAUUCACCUUACUGCCAUGCUGUGUGAAGGAGAGGGAUAUUGGAGAGGACUUCACACCUGAACAUCAACACGUUGACCCCUGCUGUAUUUGUUAUAACCCUUUAAACAGGAAGCUAUGCUGUUGGCCUUUCCUCUGUGUUGGUUGUUGCAGUCUGUCAGACACACAAUUUGGAACACACAUUUGGAAGAGUCUGCUGUAGGUGAAGCAGUCACUGUGCUUUCCUCCAGACGUGCACACACACAUUCAAUCCCCUUUCACCCCAGUACACCUCACCUAUGUCUCAGUUCAUACUGCUGUGUCAAAUAGCUAGUGGCCGUUGAGUCAAUACCAUUUCCUUCCACUCACUAACCCCUAAUGCACGUUGAAGUGCUUGGCUUAGGGAGUGGAGGUAGGAGAAGAGUCUGCCUGGUUCCUUCCUGCUGGUGUUGUUGUAGUCUGUCUGGCUGACGUUGAAUAGAGACCAGAUAAUAUCAGAGUGGAUAUCAGGUAGUGGAGACACCAUGUCAGACGCCUCUGUUGUUAGAUACAGUGUCUGACAUGGUGUCUCUGUUGUUAGAUACAGUGUCUGACAUGGUGUCUCUGUUGUUAGAUACAGUGUCUGACAGGGUGUCUCUGUUGUUAGAUACAGUGUCUGACAUGGUGUCUCUGUUGUUAGAUACAGUGUCUGACAUGGUGUCUCUGUUGUUAGAUACAGUGUCUGACAUGGUGCCUCUGUUGUUAGAUACAGUGUCUGACAUGGUGUCUCUGAAGUUAGAUACACAGUGUUGUAACUCUGAGUUAUCACAGCACUGAUCUUAGUUUCAGUGUGUGUUUAUGAAAGGAGAGCGAGGCACUGAACCCUAAUUGCUCCUGUAAGUCUCUGGAUGAGAGCGUCUGCUAAAUCACUCAUGUAAAUGUAAACACAGGACUACAUGUAAAACAGGGAAUUUAACUGUGGGUCAUUGAGCCGUGUUGGGAUCCAUGUUUUGGGGGAAAAGGAAGUCUGGGCCUUCCCAAUAUAGUGCACUACUUUGGGCCAGAGCCCAUGAGGUUAUAUCCUAAACAGAUCACAUGUCUAAAGUCAACGUCUUGUGAUUGUCCACUGUCAGCCAUAUCAUUGUGUGGUCUUUCAAUCAGCUACUGUAUCCUCUCCUAGAUAGCUUAGGGAAAUACCAAUAAUAAUACCACGACCAUGGGCUGAUGACCGUGUGUGUGUGUGCGUGUGCGUGUGCGUGUGCGUGUGCGUGUGUUUCUGUGGUAGACUAGAAGUGGAUGUAAACAAUAGUAGCAGUGUGACUGUGUGAAUCAUCUCCAUGCUGUUUGAUUCUCCUGCCAAGCAGCAAGGUUCUUCUGAAAAGGAGUUCCAAAUUAGAUGUAUCACUAGGCGAAGGAGAAAAUCAUUUUCCUUUUGGUGAUACUAAUAACAGGAAGGGCCCAAUGCUGUGUUUU
rnacentral:lncRNA from 13 species